AAUUGAAACUGUUCACCGGUGA
rnacentral:siRNA from 1 species